CAGUUCGGAUUGGAGUCUGCAACUCGACUCCAUGAAGUCGGAGUCGCUAGUAAUCGCAAAUCAGCAAAGUUGCGGUGAAUACGUUCUCGGGCUUUGUACACACCGCCCGUCACACCACGAAAGUAGGCAACGCCCGAAGUCAGUGGCCUAACCCUUAUGGGAGGGAGCUGCCGAAGGCGGGGUUUAUGAUUGGGGUGAAGUCGUAACAAGGUAGCCGUACGGGAACGUGCGGCUGGAUCACCUCCUUUAA
rnacentral:rRNA from 1 species